AGGCUGAGCACCGAUCCCUGCAGCUCCUCUGGGGCCUGGCUGGAGGGCUCAGCCUUGGGAGGGGGCCAUAGAAGGAUGAGGCCCAGCUUGGGAGACCCUGGGGGCGAGAGCGGGGUCGGGGUCGGCAGAGGGGGGCCGGGCUCCAGUGUGGGAGGGAGGGCGGAAGGCGCCCGUGCCUGCGGCCGGCCGGGCUGGGUAGGGACAGCAGGCGGGCUCCUGCGGGAGCUCCCUGGGCUCCAACGUCUCCGCAGCAGAGCUUGGCAGCGCUUGCGGGCAGGCCUGACAAGGCGAUUCCCGAAAACGACCGAGUGGCCUUGUCCCACGGGAAAGCGUGGAGCCUCCUCUCCCCACGCCCCCUCCUGGCACUGUCUUCGCGGUUUGUGCCGCGGGAUUGGGUUUCUCCCUGGGGCUCCUGUAAUGGGAGUUUGAAAUCUUGCCAUGUCUGCAAUAAUCUUUUUUAAAAUUUAAAUGUUUAUUUAUUCAUAUAUUUUCAUCUGCUUGAAAGGCAGAGCAAGAGAGAGAGAGAGAGCGAGCGCGAGCUUCCACUGGUUCACUCCCCAAAUGCCUACAACAGCCAGCUAGGGCCGGGUUGAACUCAGGAGCCUGGAACUCCAUCCGGGUCUCCCACGUGGGUGCAGGGGCCCAAGCACUUGGCCCAUCUUCUGCUGCUUUCCCAGGCACAUUGGCAGGGAGCCGGUUUGGAAGUGGAGCAGCCGGGACACGAACAGGCGCUCAGAUAUGGGCCAUGGGCAUCCUACGCGGUGGCUUAACUGGCUGGGCCUCAGCGGCCCAGAAGCUUCCAAGGUCAACGGAGGUCUCUGGAUCCGGGCGCUUGACCUGUGGUUCGUGGCAGGAAACCUGGCGCCUCAGCUUGACUGGUUAAGUCCUGGGGGCGCCCCCUGCAGGCUGUGCCUUGGCCUGGACGACAGUAGGUGACCAGGCUGAGGUCCUACACUUGACGCCCGCCCGGGGCCCCUCCUCCUGUGGAUUCCUGCCUGCCGGGGCUGCAGCCAGCCAGAGCUGGGCUGAUUCUUUUCUGAUUACACAGAUAAAGCAAACAUCUCUCCAAUUUGUCAACAAGAAUAGGAAGAAAAAAAGCACAGACUACCAGUUUCAACACUUUAUAUCCGUAAAAAUCCCAUCGUCAUCUUCCUUAUGUCGCAACUUUGCAAAAUGUUUUAUACGAACUACUUCCUCCUUUUGAGGAUCAUGACAGCCAUGACUAAUCCGCUGAUUUAUUGAAUUGAAAUAUAAUUACAAUUAAUCAUGUUUAUGCUGCUAUCUCAGCUCUGCUAGUGUUGGGUGGGGGGUGGUUCUGGCCUGCUCUGUUGUCUUUCCCAUGCUCCCUUAAUGUUGUUGAGAGUGACCUUCCUUCCUGGCUGCCACAGGACAUUCUGGAACAUUCUAACUUGGUUUUUAUGGGCCCAAGGAUCCUAGUUCCCUUUGGUGGAGACGUGCCACCGCCUGGGAUGCCAGCAUCCUGUGGGAGUCCUGGCUGUUCCACUUCUGAUCCAGCUCCCUGCCAACGCACCCAGGAAGACAGCUCAAAAUGGAGUUCCAGGCUCCUGGCUCCGGGCCAGCCACAGCCGAUGCACGAAGACCUCAGCUCACCUGGUGAAACCAGACUGUCUACAGAUGGUCCGUGACUCACACCUCAAGAUGGCUCGGGUUCCGCUUUAUCAGUGUCUCACGGCUGCAAAAGAGGCUGGAGCUGUGGGUUCCAUCUCCGUGAUGCUGGGCAGCCUCACCGCCAAGAGGAGGAGACGCCCAAGGCUCCGCAGUGCCCGGUGCUGGUGAGCCGGGGCGCGCUGUUCAAGGCGUUCUCAAUGCGUGCUGUCUUCAACUUCCGAAAUGAGCUUCUAGGGACAGAAGCCGUGGCGAGUCCCAGCGUCUGUGCUGAAGGAAGGCAGCACACCCGGAAGUCGGAGGCACCUGCGCCCCGGACCUCUGCAGAAGACCCAGCACUCACGCUCACAGGGCCACGCCGGCCGCAGGUUCUUCUCUGAGCCGGUAACUGACCGCAGGAGAAGGUCAGUUCAUGUGCUCCAACUGGCUCACAGGCCCGAGCCAGAGCUGGCGCAGGUCAACCCAGCCACGUCCAGGAGGACACGCUGUGAGCAGCGCCUCAGAGAGGUGUGCCCUAGGAGCACACAUCGGGUGCCAGGAAAGCAUGGCACUGGGACACAGCGGGAGCAGUGAUCACAUGGGAGGAAGGCGGAGGAGAAGGUGGCCCAGGCCCAGGGACACCUGCAGGCGUCUCGGUGCACCUGCCCUGACGCUGGACAGACGAUGCUCCAGGGCUGCCACUGAGGCGUAGCAGGUGAGGACCCCAUGUGGGCUCUGGUUCAAGUCCCUGCCGCUCUGCUUCUGAUCCAGCUCCCUGCUGACGCACCUGGGAAGGCAGCAGAAGACGGUCCAAGUGCUUGGGCCCCUGCACCCAUGCGAGAGACCAGGAUGGAGUUCCUAGCUCCUGGCUUCGGCCAGGCCCAGCCCUGGCGAUUGUGGCCAUUUAGGGAGCAAAUCAGUGGAUGGAAGAUCUCUGUCUCUCUCUCCACUUCUGUGUGUGUGUGUGUGUGUGUGUGUCUCCCACUCUCUCUGAUGCUCUGCCUUUCAAAUAAAUAUUUAAAAACAAAACAAAACAAAACAAAAUACCAUGAACCGGGUGACUUGUAAACAACAGAAAUUUACUGCUCACAAUUCUGGAGGC